rnacentral:snoRNA from 1 species
CUGUGAAUAUUCUCAAUGUUCUUAUUUCAUAGUAAUCAGAAUAGUCUAAACAUUCACUAUUAUAAGACCAUGAAUGUGUAGCAUGUGGUUGACACG